AGAGUGAACGCUGGCGGUAGGCCUAACACAUGCAAGUCGAACGGCAGCACAGUGGUAAGCAAUACCAUGGGUGGCGAGUGGCGGACGGGUGAGGAAUACAUCGGAAUCUACCUUUUCGUGGGGGAUAACGUAGGGAAACUUACGCUAAUACCGCAUACGCCCGUUCGGGGGAAAGCCGGGGAUCGCAAGACCUGGCGCGGAUAGAUGAGCCGAUGGUCGGAUUAGCUAGUU
rnacentral:rRNA from 1 species